rnacentral:tRNA from 1 species
GGACGCUUAGCUCAGUGGGAGAGCACCUGCUUGACGUGCAGGGGGUCAGGGGUUCAAAUCCCUUAGCGUCCACCA